ACCUUACCCCUCGCCGCGCGGUUGCCUCGGCGUGGAGGUCGGGAGUGGGGCCGCCCAGCGCGGACCCCGCCUCCGGCCCCCGCCGGCCGCGCCAAACUCUUAAUUUGCAUAGCGGACUGUAUGUUCUGAUUUAUCUUGAAAAAAACAAGUCAAAACUUUCAACAACGGAUCUCUUGGUUCUGGCAUCGAUGAAGAACGCAGCGAAAUGCGAUAAGUAAUGUGAAUUGCAAAAUUCAGUGAAUCAUCGAAUCUUUGAACGCACAUUGCGCCCGGCAGCAAUCUGCCGGGCAUGCCUGUCCGAGCGUCAUUUCUGCCCUCGAGCUCGGUUCUCUCGAACCGACGCCCGGUGUUGGGGCGCUGCGGGCUCAGCCCCGCAGGCCCUGAAAUGAAGUGGCGGUCCCGCCGCGGCGCCCCCUGCGUAGUAAGUCUUUGCACCUCGCAUCGGGUCCCGGCGUAGGCCAGCCGUCGAACCUAUCUCUUGAUGGUUUGACCUCGGAUCAGGUAGGGUUACCCGCUGAACUUAAGCAUAUCAAUAA
rnacentral:sRNA from 1 species